rnacentral:rRNA from 1 species
AGGGUUUGAUUAUGGCUCAGAUUGAACGCUGGCGGCGUGCCUAACACAUGCAAGUCGAACGUGAAAGUUCCUUCGGGAGCGAGUAAAGUGGCGCACGGGUGAGUAACACGUGGAUAAUCUACCGGGAAGUUGGGGAUAACGACUGGAAACGGUCGCUAAUACCGAAUACGCUGUUCUAUUUGUUUAGGACAGGAAAGGAGGCCUCUGCAUAUGCUUCCGCUUUUCGAUGAGUCCGCGUCCCAUUAGCUGGUUGGCGGGGUAAAGGCCCACCAAGGCGACGAUGGGUAGCUGGUCUGAGAGGAUGAUCAGCCACACUGGGACUGGAACACGGCCCAG